GUAAAACAUGCAGGGCUGUGGCCCUCCAGGACCAGGAUUGCCCACCCCUGCUCUAAGUCAUACAUGGAGGGAACAACCUGACUAAGGCAAUCCUGAGCAAAAGAUGCAGCUUGUAAAAAAAGAAGCAAAAUCUUCAAUAAUUUUUUAGUUUGUUUGGUUUUUGUUUGUUUGUUUGGCAGAAUACAUUUGUGACUCACCUCCACYCACACCACCGCGGAUGCGUUGUUGACUUGAAACCCCACGGAGUGACAACGAAAUGAAAGUGAGAUGAAGGCCCUCGUGUCGUCUCCUUUUCCCCACGAGAGCCACAUCCAAGGUGAUGCAGGAUCUUUGAGCUCAGGAGGAGAGACAGCGUUGCCUGCAGGGCUGCCAUGGCAAAGUGUGGGAAAGGCCCUGGAGAGGACAAGAAAAAAAAAGGAAGGAUGUGGAAACUAGUGAUGGCCRACACUCUCACACCUGACCACUGUCUUUUCAAAAACAAAAACAAAAAAAAGGAAAAACAGAGAAAAUUUUCUACAUAAAACAACAACAACAAAAAAAGGAAAACGACCUGAGAAAGUUCCUCUCAGCUUCACAAGCCCAGAGAAAAGUACCAUCUGGUGCCAUUUUUAUCCCCCUCCACUGUGCCUCUGUUUCGUCUUUGCACUGCUGUCAGCACUGUUUCAAUUACAUUCUGCAGCUUAUGUCUAUAGUGGAUUACACCAGAUUGGUGUUUGUGUGUGAGACUGUGGGUUUGCUCGUGGUUUAAGGCUAUGGAACGCUUUCUUCUUUUAUUGUCAAACCAAAGACAACGGUGUUCUUGGCCUGCGAGCGGUUUCCACCUCUUCGCGGCGCCGUGGCAGAAUUAAGACGUGAACGAUMCCAUUUCAGAUCGUGACAAAGAGAUCUAAUUUUGAUUUCUUCACRUUUUUGUUUUGCUUUUUUCUUUCGCCUUUUGUCUUUUUGCACUCUUUUUAAAAAAUUUUUUAGUCUGUGGGACUUUUUUUUUCUUCUCCUAGAUUGUCGGUGCUUAGUUGUGACCUAGUUUGUUAAAAGGGGGGAGUUUGGCCAAGCCUUGGGAAUCCGGGGCAGAUUAACUUUCUGUUAGUUCUCCCUAGCAAAGCUCCAUAUGUCAGAGCUGCUGCUAUCAAAAAUGGAUCCUACUGGCAGAGUAACACAACGACCAAAUCCCAUUUCCUUGUGUUUGA